rnacentral:rRNA from 1 species
UACGGAGGGUGCGAGCGUUGUCCGGAAUCAUUGGGCGUAAAGGGCGCGUAGGUGGCCUGUGCAAGCGUGCGGUGAAAGCUCGGGGCUCAACCCCGAGUCGGCCGUGCGAACUGCUGGGCUCGAGCACUGUAGAGGCAGGCGGAAUUCCGGGUGUAGCGGUGGAAUGCGUAGAGAUCCGGAAGAACACCGGUGGCGAAGGCGGCCUGCUGGGCAGUUGCUGACACUGAGGCGCGACAGCGUGGGGAGCAAACAGG